rnacentral:rRNA from 1 species
CGGCGUAGCAAUACGUCAGUUUGGGCUAAUACCGCAUAAGCCCUUACGGGGAAAGAUUUAUCGCCGAAAGAUCGGCGCGCGUCUGAUUAGCUUGUUGGUGAGGUAACGGCUCACCAAGGCCAGCCACAUUGGGACUGAGACACGGCGCAA